rnacentral:ncRNA from 1 species
UGUGGCUGUAGCCGUCAGUCCUUCGCGUGGUUGGUGGUUAAAAAAAAGAGAAAGAAAACGUUCCGCUUCUGACCUGUGUGAUUUAGAGGUCGGCACCGAUCAGGCGCUGUCCAAGGAGCAGUAUUACCAGGGGAAAUAAAAACGGGCUGCGUCUUCGGAUGUGGUGGGCGCGUUCAACACGGUGUGUCGCAUUUUAAAUUUCUGGGAGGAUUGACAGACUGAGGCCUUCGGGGCCCAGUGCGGUUACGCAAACCAGCUCGGAGACGCCAAUGCGAGCCCCGGGAGGUGUUUUCUUUUCUCUGUAAGGUGAUCGAGUCCCUGGAAUGGGUUCGCCCCGAGAUAGGGAUGGUGGCUCCGUAGAGCAGUGCGGCUCUUGCGCUGUCCGGUGCGCUCGCGUCGGCCAUUGAAAAUCCAAGUGAAGGAGUGUGAUUUCCAUGCCGAAUCGUACCCACAUCCGCAGCAGGUCUCCAAGGUGAACAGUCUCUAGUC